UGAUCAAACUUAAUUGGGCGUAGCACUAGA
rnacentral:sRNA from 1 species